rnacentral:rRNA from 1 species
AGUUGUAUCCUGGCUCAGGAUGAACGCUGGCGAGAUGCUUUACACAUGCAAGUCGUACGCGAGUCUUUGACUCGAGUGGCGGACGGGUGAGUAACACGUAAGAAUUUGCCUUUAGGAGGGGGACAACAACUGGAAACGGUUGCUAAUACCCCAUAUGCUUUCGAGUGAAAUGGAUUUUUUCCGCCUAGAGAGAAGCUUGCGGCUGAUUAGCUUGUUGGUGAGGUAAUGGCUUACCAAGGCGACGAUCAGUAUCUGGUUUGAGAGGACGAUCAGACACACUGGAACUGAGACACGGUCCAGACUCCUACGGGAGGCAGCAGUGGGGAAUUUUCCGCAAUGGGCGCAAGCCUGACGGAGCAAUCUCGCGUGAGGGAUGACUGCCUAUGGGUUGUAAACCUCUUUUUUCAGGGAGGAAUAAAUGACGUGUACCUGAAGAAUAAGCAUCGGCUAACUCCGUGCCAGCAGCCGCGGUAAUACGGAGGAUGCAAGUGUUAUCCGGAAUCACUGGGCGUAAAGCGUCUGUAGGUGGUUUAAUAAGUCAACUGUUAAAUCUUGAGGCUCAACUUCAAAAUCGCAGUCGAAACUAUUAGACUAGAGUAUAGUAGGGGUAAAGGGAAUUUCCAGUGGAGCGGUGAAAUGCGUAGAGAUUGGAAAGAACACCGAUGGCGAAGGCACUUUACUGGGCUAUUACUGACACUCAGAGACGAAAGCUAGGGUAGCAAAUGGGAUUAGAUACCCCAGUAGUCCUAGCUGUAAACAAUGGAUACUAGAUGUUGAACAGAUCGACCUGUGCAGUAUCAAAGCUAACGCGUUAAGUAUCCCGCCNGGGAAGUAUGCUCNCAAGAGUGAAACUCAAAGGAA